rnacentral:rRNA from 1 species
AUGAGCAUCCCUUGCGAAUGCUGUGAAAGGAAGAUAAGGUUCAUCAGAAAAAUAAAUGGAAAUUUUAUGCAUAGCAUGGUCAUUCCAGAGUGGUUUGUUAGUCAACUUGGGGGCAAAAUCUGGAGAACCAUCAAACUGCAAGCCCCUGAUGGUAUCAUAUAUGAUGUUGGACUUAGUGAGAAUAUGAAUAGAAUUAUCCUCAAGUUUGGGUGGGCAGCAUUUCUUGAUGCCAAUGAAAUCGAAGAAAACUAUUCCUUGAUGUUUCGGUACCUCGGAAACUCCCUCUUUGAGGUUACAAUAUUUGAUUCCAAUGGGAAGGAGAAAGUCUCACGCAGUCACUAUACCGAUAAUUCGAGCAGUUCUCAUCCUGGAGCUACUCAGUCAUCAGCAGGGCAAGGUUCAGAUUCAGAUGGAAGCCAGAAGGAAAGCUUGUACCGGUACAAAAAAUCAGCAAAGAUGCCCGCAAUAUAUUCUUCUUCUGAGGAAUUCUCAGAAGACAAUUUUGUGGAGUCGGAGGAUCAACAGAUGCUUUCAAAAUAUUGUGUCUUCUCAGGGCGGUGCUAUCUUACAGAAGCACAGAAGGCGAAAGUUCUUGCACUUGUAAAGAAAAUUCGACCCGAAAUCCCGGUGCUUGUUGUAGAGAUGAAGAAGAGCAAUGUAAAGCAGAGUGGUACUCUGGUAAUAUGUAAGGAUUACGCACGCAAGCACAUGCCAUGCGAAGGAACAAAUAUCAUACUCCAGCUGCCUCGAAAAGACAAGGGUUGGAAGUGCAGAUUCCAUAUCAGGCCAUCUGGAACAUCUGACGCUGGUCGCCGCAACCUUUCAUUGGGGAACUUUGUCCGUGACAAUCAUGUUAGAGAAGGUGAUAUAUGCCUCUUUGAACCAAUGACAAAUGCUAAGGAGAAAAGAUUCACUAUGACUGUCCAUCUCGUUCACAAAGCGGGCAUUUAUCAUUCCCCUGGUGAAAGAACUGACAUUGGCUCAAAUCAUGGAAGGACGAGCACUAAGAUGGCAAGUGCUAUGGAUGAACCACCUACUGAUGGUGAAGAGUACUCUUCGGAACAUGAAGAGCAUGGAGUCUCUGAUCAUUCUGAGGGAGGUUCUGAACCUCCCUUCAUGCUGGCAGACAAAGCUUACCUAACACGAGCACAAGAGAAGAAAGUGUUGGAGAAAGUCGAGGAAAUCGAGUCAGAAGUACCCUUGUAUGUUGCUAUCAUGAGCAAGUCCAAUGUCUAUCGGGGUGGUGGCUGUAACACUCCCACCCUACACUUUGGCUACCAAUACACAGGCAGAUAUCUUGUUCAGAAGUCUGCUGCUGGCCAUCAUCGUGGAAAGAGUAGCCUGAUCAGUUUGAUGCUUCAUAGGGAGGGGAGGAGUGGAUCAUGGCCUACCAAGAUGCAACACAGCAUGCAACACACAACUCAUGCGAUGAGGGUUCUCGAAGGAUGGACGUUUUUCGCCCGCGACAACCGCCUGCGGGAGGGUGACCUCUGUCUCUUCAAGCUGAUAAAGAACAAGGAGCCUCUCACUAUGGUGAUCCACAUCAUUCGCCGUGAGGAAUGUUAG